UUUUUUUUUUCCUUCAGCUAAGACAGGAGAUGAUUUAUUGUGCACGUUACAUUCAGCCACAACUGAGAACAGAACCAGUCCAGAGUGUCAGGGGUCCGGGGCAAAGAUCCAAGAGAGACUUUUUGGAAGAGCAGGGUGGGACUCUCAAAAGGCGGCCGCGGUGUUCAGGUGGCCCGUAUGCAUGUUCCAGAUCCCACGGAGAUGAUGUUGGAGUCAGCAGGGAGGA